AAAAAAAAUUCUAAAAAUAACUUUUCAAUAUAUAUAUAUAAUAUAAAAUCUAUCCAGACCAUCAUAUUCAUUAAAAGCCAAAAUAAAAGCGACAUGCUAGACAUCGAUCGGCAAAGGAACGAAGAACACAAAUUCUCCAUCAAUGCCAAGAUUGAAGGGAUAUGGUCGUUGGUCCAGUUAAGCUCUUAUAAAUAGUAGUAUAAUGACAUAUUAAAAAGCAAAAAAAGAGCACAACAAAGUUUUCUAGUUUAGAGGAGAGAAAAGAGGUAGCAUCGAAAGAGCUACCGGAGUUAAUGGUAGUGAGUCUGUCGGAGUUAAUGGUAAAACAAAUAAAGAAAGGAGAUGUAGAUGAUGUCUGGAUUUUUGCCAAGGAUGGAACUUUUAAGGGGGAUCGAGCCUCUCCAAAAGUUUUUGUUUUUAAUACUAGUUUUCUUAUACAUUCUUUAAAAAUAAUUUUUCAUAAUACAUAUUAGCCCCUCUUGCAAAGCUAAAUUUUAUGUCUCAUUGAAAUUCACCCCUCCAUAGUAAGUGUUCAAGUUCCGCCAUUAAUUUUUAGAUUUUAAGAUUAGGUUUAUACCAUUGACAGGAUAAGGUUUUUACAAUGACAGAUUUUUGUGGCUAAUUCAUUUAUUAUAUUUCUGUAUACUUUUCAUUUUAAACAUUAUUUUAUUCUACUACUAGUAUUAGUUAUUUCUUGACAGGCUUAUUCUACUACUAGUUAAUCACAGUUACAAAACUUCAUAUGAAAAAUAAUGCAAUGAUAAUGAAAGUUUUAACAUAAUAAAGUUAACAUUGACCACAUACCCAAAUUGAUUAGUGUAAGUUACUGUGGGAGUGGGACACAGACUGACGCUCACCCCACCUCGCCUCGCCUCUUUAUAUUGUAUCACACUAUCUGGUGUGUUUGCUCCUAUAAUUUAUUGUACUGUUAAAACUUUUUGUUGAAUUACUAUUUUCUUAUUUGGUAUGGCCAUCUUGAGUUUAAUUGUUUCAUUAGAGGGUUCUCGGAUAAAUUAGUUGAGUUGAAAUUGUUAGAACUUUUGAUAUUGGUGAAUUCCCAAUUGCAUUUAGUUUAAACUUAACAUAAAUUGUCUUGGUAAAUUUUAGUGAAAUGAAAAUCUUUCAGCUUGGAUAUUAUAAGCAUUUUAUGACGAAAUGGGUCAAAUGGAUCGAGGCAAGUUUGGAUAUUGGUAUUUUUGGCAAGUCAAGUUAGGCGGAUCGGAUUAGAACGCCAAGUGUUAGAUGUUAAUGAUUCGAACCCUAGCAGUGACAUUCAAGGUGGGCACUGGGCAGUAUGUUGGAACCCGCGAAACAGGAGUGAUAAUACGUAUGCCCACACGCUCAAGAGGCAAAUGCCCGAAACCAUGGGGAAUCAAAAUUCGAUCCCAGGUCUCCAAGCCAACAUCCCCUCAGCCAGUUCGCUCAAAAAGGGCCCUUGGCCACUUGAUCUACUAUCUAAGACCAAGUGGUUGAUUUAAGUGGAUAUUGACAACAUAAGUUACCAUUUUUUGCUAAUGUGGGGUAAUCUAAGAUGUAAUUCCGCCAAAAUGAAGCCUGUUGUUCGAUUUCUCACAUUUUGGGAACAUUGACUGAUGUAUUGCAAUUUUACAUACAUUGGCACAAAUAGUUAUAUUAUGUCAUGUUAAAUGUGAUAAGUUGAACUGUAACUCUGUUUUGGGGUGUUGUUGCAUUUUAGAAACCCCACAAUGGCAAAAAAAUUUACUUA